ensembl:snoRNA
UGGAUCGAAUGAUGAGGCUGGUGCCGUAUGAAUCACGCAUGAUGAAUGAUACGUGUCUGGAACUCUGAGGUCCAA